GACGAACGCUGGCGGCGUGCCUAAUACAUGCAAGUAGAACGCACAGUUUAUACCGUAGCUUGCUACACCAUAGACUGUGAGUUGCGAACGGGUGAGUAACGCGUAGGUAACCUGCCUGGUAGCGGGGGAUAACUAUUGGAAACGAUAGCUAAUACCGCAUAAUAUUAAUUAUUGCAUGAUAAUUGAUUGAAAGAUGCAAUUGCAUCACUACCAGAUGGACCUGCGUUGUAUUAGCUAGUAGGUGAGGUAACGGCUCACCUAGGCGACGAUACAUAGCCGACCUGAGAGGGUGAUCGGCCACACUGGGACUGAGACACGGCCCAGACUCCUACGGGAGGCAGCAGUAGGGAAUCUUCGGCAAUGGACGAAAGUCUGACCGAGCAACGCCGCGUGAGUGAAGAAGGUUUUCGGAUCGUAAAGCUCUGUUGUAAGAGAAGAACGGGUGUGAGAGUGGAAAGUUCACACUGUGACGGGAUCUUACCAGAAAGGGACGGCUAACUACGU
rnacentral:rRNA from 1 species